CACGUAGGCACCAAGCGUUGUCCGGAUUUAUUGGGCGUAAAGAGCUCGUAGGCGGCUUGUCGCGUCGGAUGUGAAAGCCCGGGGCUUAACUCCGGGUCUGCAUUCGAUACGGGCAGGCUAGAGUUCGGUAGGGGAGAUCGGAAUUCCUGGUGUAGCGGUGAAAUGCGCAGAUAUCAGGAGGAACACCGGUGGCGAAGGCGGAUCUCUGGGCCGAUACUGACGCUGAGGAGCGAAAGCGUGGGGAGCGAACAGG
rnacentral:rRNA from 1 species